rnacentral:rRNA from 1 species
AUUGAACGCUGGCGGCAGGCCUAACACAUGCAAGUCGAACGAGUGGCGGACGGGUGAGUAAUGUCUGGGAAACUGCCUGAUGGAGGGGGAUAACUACUGGAAACGGUAGCUAAUACCGCAUACCAUCGGAUGUGCCCAGAUGGGAUUAGCUAGUAGGUGGGGUAAAGGCUCACCUAGGCGACGAUCCCUAGCUGGUGUGAGAGGAUGACCAGCAACCCGGGAACUGAGAAACGGUCCAGACGCCAUAGGGAGGCAGCAGUGGGGAAUAUUGCAAAAGGGGCGCAAGCCUGAUGCAGCCAUGCCGCGUGUAUGAAGAAGGCCGUCGGGUUGUAAAGUACUUGCAGCGGGGAGGCGUUACCCGCAGAAGAAGCACCGGCUAACUCCGUGCCAGCAGCCGCGGUAAUAC